GACGGGCCCUAUCCUCAGGUGUUGGCUGGAACAAACAUACCAAGUGGGACUGUAGUCUUCUGAGGCUCAGACCAGCAAUGAUGGUGGUGAAGACAUUGAUGUCCUGACCAACUAGCUCUGCAUGGGAGACGCCUGGUGAGCAGGAACAGUUUACCCACAAGCUGCAUCACCUGCAGAGAUGGAGUCUCACCUGUCACCCAGGCUGGAGGGCAGUGGUGGGAUCUCGGCUCAAUGCAACCUCCGACUCCCGAGUUCAAGUGAUUCUCCUGCCUCAGCCUCUUGAGUAGCUGGGAUUACAGGCAUGAGACACCACA